rnacentral:rRNA from 1 species
CGCGUAGGCGGCCUGUUAAGUCGAACGUGAAAUCCCCGGGCUCAACCCGGGAACUGCGUCCGAUACUGGCAGGCUUGAAUUCGGGAGAGGGAUGCGGAAUUCCAGGUGUAGCGGUGAAAUGCGUAGAUAUCUGGAGGAACGACCGGUGGCGAAGGCGGCAUCCUGGACCGAGAUUGACGCUGAGGCGCGAAAGCCAGGGGAGCAAACG